CAAUAGCGUAUAUUAAAGUUGUUGCGGUUAAAAAGCUCGUAGUUGGAUUUCUGCCGAGGACGUCCGGUCCACCCUCUGGGUGUGUACAUGGCACGGCCUGGGCAUCUUCUUGGGGUACGUAUCUGCACUUGACUGUGUGGUGCGGAAUCCAGGACUUUUACUUUGAGGAAAUUAGAGUGUUUCAAGCAGGCACGCGCCUUGAAUACAUUAGCAUGGAAUAAUAAGAUAGGACCUCGGUUCUAUUUUGUUGGUUUCUAGAGCUGAGGUAAUGAUUAAUAGGGAUAGUUGGGGGCAUUCGUAUUUAACUGUCAGGGGUGAAAUUCUUGGAUUUGUUAAAGACGGACUACUGCGAAAGCAUUUGCCAAGGAUGUUUUCAUUGA
rnacentral:rRNA from 1 species